UUUGUCACGAUUCCACACGACUGGAGCGUCUGACCGUCAUCAUCAUAGUUGCACUGUGGGUAUGCGCUGAUGAUGUCAUAACUGGACACACCGCCCCUUCUGUAGUGCAGCGACAAACAAACAGCAGGCUGGGUCACGUGAUUGUAAAAGCAGCGGUGCGGUCAGUGCAUUGAGAUGUGUCCUCACCUGUGUUUGUCCAGGUACCUCCGCAGGUCACCGACUGUUUCCGACGGGGACAUUUUCACUAUCUUUGCCCUCAGCGAGUUCCUGAUAUCAAUCACUCGGCCGGCCUUCACCACCAACUUCGGCAACUUGUUCAGGAACUGAUCCGUGGUCAGCUUCUUGCCUUUGAAUCAGAUGAAAACAUGAGAAUGACAGCAAAGUCUCUGAGGAUCUGCACCGUGGCUUUGAUCAGGGUGACGUUUGCAGAACAGACCGGGAGGGUCACUCGCUGCAUCAUGGCAGACAUGAGGUCAAAGUUGGUCGGAGGACACCCUGAAAACCAGCAG